ACUCCUACGGGAGGCAGCAGUGGGGAAUAUUGCACAAUGGGCGCAAGCCUGAUGCAGCCAUGCCGCGUGUAUGAAGAAGGCCUUCGGGUUGUAAAGUACUUUCAGCAGUGAGGAAGGUGAGUGUAGUUAAUAGCUGCAUUUAUUUGACGUUAGCUGCAGAAGAAGCACCGGCUAACUCCGUGCCAGCAGCCGCGGUAAUACGGAGGGUGCGAGCGUUAAUCGGAAUUACUGGGCGUAAAGCGCAUGCAGGUGGUUUGUUAAGUCAGAUGUGAAAGCCCGGGGCUCAACCUCGGAAUAUGACAUUUGAAACUGCAGACUAGAGUACUGGUAGAGGGGGU
rnacentral:rRNA from 1 species